rnacentral:rRNA from 1 species
AACGCUGGCGGCAUGCCUAACUACAUGCAAGUCGAACGGGAUCCUGGCUUCGGUCAGGUGAGAGUGGCGGACGGGUGAGUAACGCGUGGGAACCUGGCCCAGUGGUGGGGGAUAACUGCGGGAAACUGCAGCUAAUACCGCAUGAGCCCGAGGGGGGAAAGAUUUAUCGCCAUUGGAGGGGCCCGCGUUCGAUUAGGUAGUUGGUGAGGUAACGGCUCACCAAGCCGACGAUCGAUAGCUGGUCUGAGAGGAUGAUCAGCCACACUGGGACUGAGAUACGGCCCAGACUCCUACGGGAGGCAGCAGUGGGGAAUAUUGGACAAUGGGGGCAACCCUGAUCCAGCAAUGCCGCGUGAGUGAUGAAGGCCUUCGGGUUGUGAAGCUCUUUUGGCGGGGACGAUGAUGACGGUACCCGCAGAAUAAGCCCCGGCUAACUUCGUG